rnacentral:rRNA from 1 species
GAUGAACGCUGGCGGCGUGCCUAAUACAUGCAAGUCGAGCGAACGGACGAGAAGCUUGCUUCUCUGAUGUUAGCGGCGGACGGGUGAGUAACACGUGGAUAACCUACCUAUAAGACUGGGAUAACUUCGGGAAACCGUAGCUAAUACCGGAUAAUAUUUUGAACCGCAUGGUUCAAAAGUGAAGGACGGUCUUGCUGUCACUUAUAGAUGGAUCCGCGCUGCAUUAGCUAGUUGGUAAGGUAACGGCUUACCAAGGCAACGAUGCAUAGCCGACCUGAGAGGGUGAUCGGCCAUACUGGAACUGAGACACGGUCCAGACUCCUACGGGAAGCAGCAGUAGGGAAUCUUCCGCAAUGGGCGAAAGCCUGACGGAGCAACGCCGCGUGAGUGAUGAAGGUCUUCGGAUCGUAAAACUCUGUUAUUAGGGAAGAACAUAUGUGUAAGUAACUGUGCACAUCUUGACGGUACCUAAUCAGAAAGCCACGGCUAACUACGUG